rnacentral:rRNA from 1 species
AACGAACGCUGGCGGCGUGCCUAACACAUGCAAGUCGAACGGGGUAAUUUCUUCGGAGAUUACUUAGUGGCGAACGGGUGAGUAACGCGUGAGAAACCUGCCUUUCAGUGGGGGACAACAGUUGGAAACGACUGCUAAUACCGCAUAAUGUCAUUUGGGGGCAUCCCUGAAUGACCAAAGAUUUAUUGCUGAAAGAUGGUCUCGCGUCUGAUUAGCUAGUUGGUGAGGUAACGGCUCACCAAGGCGACGAUCAGUAGCCGGUCUGAGAGGAUGAACGGCCACAUGGGGACUGAGAUACGGCCCAGACUCCUACGGGAGGCAGCAGUGGGGAAUAUUGGGCAAUGGGGGAAACCCUGACCCAGCAACGCCGCGUGAAGGAAGAAGGCCUUCGGGUUGUAAACUUCUUUUACCAGGGACGAACAAAUGACGGUACCUGGAGAAAAAGCAACGGCUAACUACGUGCCAGCCGCCGCGGUAAUAC